rnacentral:lncRNA from 1 species
UGUUGUUAACAAUGCAAGCAUGGUUCUUGGAUUGAUUAGCUUCUUUGGAUAUGAGUUUGCCCCACGGGUUGCUAGGGGUAGGUGGUAGGUGGUGACAACCCUAUCCAUCCUUCGUAAUCCCCCACGUUCGGGUACAUUCUAGGAGUUCGAAAAUUAGCAGUAAUUUUACUGGGUGGAACCAGUAUGGGUACUGUCUCCUCCUGUGUGCUUGGGUGCAUAGGCCUGAGUUCUAUACAAUGUGUAUGUAUGUUAUGCUUGUAUGAUCUAUGCAGUAUAUAGGAAGUACAUAUGAACCUAGAGCUAACUCUUAAUCCUUCUCCCUAGCUUAGUUAUCUUGAGAUGAUUCCUGUGUGUGUCACACAACUCCUCUAUCAUUAUCUUACCCCUGUCUUGAGUAUUGUCUCAUUCCAUCUAUGGUAUACUCAUAUGUAUAGUAAACUCUUUUGACCUACCCGCCUUCCUUUGGCAAAUACGAUACUCUUAGGAAUACUCUUAGGUAAAAU